AGAUGAAAUUAUAUUUAAAUAUUCUGGCCUAUUACGAGUUGUUUUAAUGCAAAAACGUUAUAUUUUGGAAAGCUUGAAACGCAAUUAAAAUGUUAGUCAAAUGUAGUGAAGACAGCAAUUUACAACUUACCCUGCUACUCACACAAAAACACAUGCACCGUGCAUGCAUAUAUGGGAAGGCAUCGACUUGAAAUUCUCCUAAGUGCAAACAAUGCAAAUGACAAACUCACAUUUUAUGUUCAAAAUUCGAGUCAGCAGCUGAGAAAUAUUCGUAAGUCAAAUUGAAAUUCAUGUGUGACAUUUGCUGCAUAUAAAUGGGGGCGUGUUUGUAUAUGUUUCUUGACAAACUGUUUACCAGUGAUGCGACUGUGUCGCAUUCUUACAAGGCAAAUGAAAAUAAAAUGAAACUCACAUAAAACAAUGCAAUAUACUUUAUUAAUUAUAUAUAUAAGUUAUAUAAGCAAUGAUUUGUCAUAUUCUU